GGUUUGAUUAAUUACGAGAAUUUUUGCGUUCACUUUGCAAAUAGCCCCAGAAAAAAAAACCACGCUUAUGGUGAUUUUACCAAGUUAGAAUACUAAAUUGUUGGAGAGAUAUCUUUUUUUUGACUUGCCAAAUAAAAUAGCGACAUGCUAAAAACUAAUGAUUGCCAAAUAAAUUUUCAUAUCAUAGGAGUAAAGAGGGUGGCUGCAGCUUUCUUGACCAUGGUGGCAUAGCAAGUGGAUCCCAUACCAACUUGAGAAGAUUCCUGAAUUUUUUCCAUGCUGCAUUUGAUUGUUCCAUCUAUUUUAUCUUCCAUAGUUCCUGCUUCCAGAUUAGUAAAGAAGUAAUGUCCAGUCAAUGACUUUAGUAUUUGCAUGAGUUUCUUCACGCAGUAUGUUAUUUCACUUGAAUAACAGAACCAGUUUGAUGUGAGAAUAGGUGGGGCUCAUUAGUUUUUUUCAGUCUAAUUCACCAGAUUGUCAGAUCAAUUUAUCAAGACUUAGAAUGGUCUCAAUUUGAGUAUUUGUGCAAUACAAUUAUACAAAUGACUUAUAGUAAAAUAUUCUAUGAGGUGAUUGCUAAGUUUUGACAUGGUAAAUAUGUUCCUGAAUUAUAAAAGUUGAUGCUAAUUUAGUCUUCAAUAUUCAGGCCUUAAUUUGUGGUUUUGCUCCUGGUUCAGUAUUCAAGACUGAAAAUUUCUUGGAACUUUGAUGAACUUGGCAAAUGGUCCUACCAGCGUGAGCACCAGCCAAAAAUGGAGAGAAUAUAAUGUUACACACUAGAAUGCCAACUUUAUAUACACCCUUAAUUCGUGAUGGGAGAAUAAAUAAAUUCUAUCUGUAUGUUCUUCUAUCUGAAACAGUUUUGUACAAUGAUCUAGAUCAUCUGAAACUUCUGAAUAGGCCUAUUUUAAUUUCCCUUUAGAUUUGUGUAUAAUUUAGUGUUUGUUUGUCUUCUUGGCAUUGCGUGAUAGACUGAAGAUAGGUGCCUUAUUUUGUCAGGCAUUUUUGUUUUAUUAUUCCUUUAAUCGAUCUCUACAAUUUUGUUUUUCUUGCUUGUUUGUCCAGUAAGUCAGGUAUACGCCUACACUAACUACAAUCAAGUAUCUUAUUUUGUAUGGACUUGUUACUAAGGUUAAAGACAAAUGAUGGGCAUUUGUAGAUCAGUUGUGUUUCUCAACUUUUCUAUAAAGCAUUUGUUAAAACCAAAUAUACGUUCCCAAAUGAAGUACCGUAAUUUUCGUAUAGAUUUUUUUGUUAGUGGGUUAGGUUUGUUUUUUAGUUUUAUGAUUUAUUUUAGUUUUGUAAUUUUUUUUUCUAAAUGUUACCGUAGCGUUAGCACGAGCAAUAUACUCGUAUGGACAACAGAGCUAGUUCGAUCUCUAGAGCGCGCACAGAAUAUAGAGAAAUUGUUGGUGUGUUUAAAGAUAUAGAGAUUAAAUUUAAUUCAAAUGGUUGAAAGAAAACCAACCAAUUAAGCUAAUAAGCUCAACUUUAUUAGACUAAUAUUGUAUAUAGGUUCCACCGGGUAUAAUUAAGUGGUCACAAAGGAAGAUUAACGCCAUCAAAAAACAAUUACUGAAAUAAUGGAAAUUAAAUUGCCAAUUGGCUAGGUAAAAUUUGGAGCAUAUAAUCCAGUGUCCAGAAGCCGCCUUAAAGCAACUCUAAAAGGUUGGGUAAAAUUAUUAGCUAAAUUCUAUUGUUUAGCUAUUUUGUAAAAUAAAAAACUCCUAAAAAAAGAGAUUCCCAAUAGCCUUGCUAUUUUACACUCCAUUGUUUAGCUAUUUUGUAAAAUAAAAAACUCCUAAAAAAAGAGAUUCCCAAUAGCCUUGCUAUUUUACAAAGUCACGAGUGCUCGUAGUUGGCUAUAUACGACCACCAAAAAUAAAAAGAUAAUUAACUUUUUAUUUUAUAAACUCAGAUAACACAUCUACUGGUUAUAAAAUCUAAAAUAGCCUCCACAAAAAAAAAUCAAGCUGUU
rnacentral:lncRNA from 1 species